rnacentral:rRNA from 1 species
UACAGAGGGUGCAAGCGUUGUUCGGAAUUAUUGGGCGUAAAGCGCGUGUAGGCGGCCUGGUAAGUCGGGUGUGAAAGCCCUCAGCUCAACUGAGGAAGUGCGCCCGAAACUACUAAGCUUGAGUGCCGGAGAGGGUGGCGGAAUUCCCCAAGUAGAGGUGAAAUUCGUAGAUAUGGGGAGGAACACCGGUGGCGAAGGCGGCCACCUGGACGGUGACUGACGCUGAGACGCGAAGCGUGGGGAGCAAACAGG